rnacentral:rRNA from 1 species
UACGUAGGUGGCAAGCGUUGUCCGGAAUUAUUGGGCGUAAAGCGCGCGCAGGCGGUCCCUUAAGUCUGAUGUGAAAGUCCACGGCUCAACCGUGGAGGGUCAUUGGAAACUGGGGGACUUGAGUACAGAAGAGGAAAGCGGAAUUCCACGUGUAGCGGUGAAAUGCGUAGAGAUGUGGAGGAACACCAGUGGCGAAGGCGGCUUUCUGGUCUGUAACUGACGCUGAGGCGCGAAAGCGUGGGGAGCAAACAGG